UGGUCAAGUUAUUAAGGGUGCAGGGCGGAUGCCUUGGCACUAGGAGCCGAUGAAGGACGUGAUAAGCUGCGAUAAGCUUCGGGGAGUUGCACGUAAACUUUGAUCCGAAGAUUUCCGAAUGAGGAAACUCACUUAGAGUAAUGUCUAAGUAUCAUUAAGUGAAUACAUAGCUUAAUGAGGGGAACUCAGGGAACUGAAACAUCUAAGUACCUGAAGGAAGAGAAAGAAAUUCGAUUCCGUAAGUAGCGGCGAGCGAACGCGGAUUAGCCCAAACCAAUAAAGUUUUCUUUAUUGGGGUUGAGGACAUACCACAUAUAAGAGGUCAUUAUAGACGAAGAAGUUUGGAAAAACUCAUCAUAGAAGGUAAUAAUCCUGUAGUCAAAAUAAUAAUUCUUUAGGUAUGAUCCAGAGUACCACGGGACACGUGAAACCCUGUGGGAAGCAGGAGGGACCACCCUCCAAGGCUAAAUACUACCUAGUGACCGAUAGCGUAUAGUACCGUGAGGGAAAGGUGAAAAGAACCCCGGGAGGGGAGUGAAAUAGAACCUGAAACCCUGCACUUACAAGCUGUGGAAGCACAUUUCUUGUGUGACCGCGUACUUUUUGUAGAACGGGCCAACGAGUUACGUUAAGUAGCAAGGUUAAGCACUUAAGGUGUGGAGCCGUAGCGAAAGCGAGUUUUAACUGAGCGUUCAGUUACUUGACGUAGACCCGAAACCGGGCGACCUACCCAUGAGCAGGAUGAAGCGAAAGUAAAAGUUCGUGGAGGUCCGAACCCACGAGCGUUGAAAAGCUCGGGGAUGACUUGUGGGUAGCGGUGAAAUUCCAAUCGAGCCCGGAGAUAGCUGGUUCUCCCCGAAAUAGCUUUAGGGCUAGCCUCAAGGUG
rnacentral:rRNA from 1 species